GACGAACGCUGGCGGCGUGCCUAAUACAUGCAAGUAGAACGCUGAAACUUGGUGCUUGCACCGAGCGGAUGAGUUGCGAACGGGUGAGUAACGCGUAGGUAACCUGCCUGGUAGCGGGGGAUAACUAUUGGAAACGAUAGCUAAUACCGCAUAAGAGUAGAUGUUGCAUGACAUUUGCUUAAAAGGUGCAAUUGCACCACUACCAGAUGGACCUGCGUUGUAUUAGCUAGUUGGUGGGGUAACGGCUCACCAAGGCGACGAUACAUAGCCGACCUGAGAGGGUGGUCGGCCACCCUGGGACUGGGGCACCGCCCCGACCUCCUCCGGAGGCAGCCGUAGGGAAUCUUCGGCAAUGGACGGAAGUCUGGACGAACAACGGCCGGUGAGGUGAGGAGGGUUUCGGGUCGGUAAGCUCUGUUGGAAGGGAAGAACGAGUGGUGGGGUGGAAAGUUCACACUGGGACGGUAUCUUAACAGAAAGGGGCGGCUAACUACGUG
rnacentral:rRNA from 1 species